CAGAUUGAACGCUGGCGGCAUGCUUUACACAUGCAAGUCGAACGGUAACAGGUCUUCGGAUGCUGACGAGUGGCGAACGGGUGAGUAAUACAUCGGAACGUGCCUAGUAGUGGGGGAUAACUACUCGAAAGAGUAGCUAAUACCGCAUGAGAUCUACGGAUGAAAGCAGGGGACCUUCGGGCCUUGUGCUACUAGAGCGGCUGAUGGCAGAUUAGGUAGUUGGUGGGGUAAAGGCUUACCAAGCCUGCGAUCUGUAGCUGGUCUGAGAGGACGACCAGCCACACUGGGACUGAGACACGGCCCAGACUCCUACGGGAGGCAGCAGUGGGGAAUUUUGGACAAUGGGCGAAAGCCUGAUCCAGCAAUGCCGCGUGCAGGAUGAAGGCCCUCGGGUUGUAAACUGCUUUUGUACGGAACGAAAAGCCUGGGGCUAAUAUCCCCGGGUCAUGACGGUACCGUAAGAAUAAGCACCGGCUAACUACGUGCCAGCAGCCGCGGUAAUACGUAGGGUGCAAGCGUUAAUCGGAAUUACUGGGCGUAAAGCGUGCGCAGGCGGUUUUGUAAGACAGUGGUGAAAUCCCCGGGCUCAACCUGGGAACUGCCAUUGUGACUGCAAGGCUAGAGUGCGGCAGAGGGGGAUGGAAUUCCGCGUGUAGCAGUGAAAUGCGUAGAUAUGCGGAGGAACACCGAUGGCGAAGGCAAUCCCCUGGGCCUGCACUGACGCUCAUGCACGAAAGCGUGGGGAGCAAACAGGAUUAGAUACCCUGGUAGUCCACGCCCUAAACGAUGUCAACUGGUUGUUGGGUCUUAACUGACUCAGUAACGAAGCUAACGCGUGAAUGUGACCGC
rnacentral:rRNA from 1 species